rnacentral:snRNA from 1 species
GUGCCUGCUUCAGCAGCACAUACACUGAAACUGGAACUCUCUGAUACAGAGAGGAUUAGCACAGCUCCUGUGCAAAGAUAACACGCAAAUUUGUGAGGUGGUCCAUAUGUUU